AGCAACACUAUCCUCGGCUGUCUCCUGCCUGCAGACAGGGAUUUGGAUGCCUUUCGGAAGCUGGGAAAAGAAACCCCAUGGAACUUCUGCAUUUGGGACUGGAGUUUAAAACCCCUAGGAGCUAGACAACAGCCCUGGAGACCAGCCAGGCGAUGGAAGUGGUGUUGGUCUGGAUUCCAGGAGGUUAUGGGCAGAAUCUCUGCAUUGAUGAUGUCAUCCCUGCCACAGGCUCAUUAACACUUCGCAACAGCAAAGCCCUGCCCACAAAGGGAAGGGAUCUAAAGAAGAUACACAAACAAAGGAGGUGA
rnacentral:lncRNA from 1 species